AUUUAAAUGUAAUAAAUAUCAAAUUUAAGCUGAAGAUAUCAACCAAGUAUUUAUUUAGUGAGUGUUUUAUCUGGAAACAUUGCAAGUGUUUUACAAAAUCUUCCUCCCAGACUGAUUAAUUCACAUCCUCAGUAUAACCCAUGAAUAACACGGUACCACUGCAGCUGGUUUAACCACAUGCUGUAUUAGUAGGAUUCAUUUUAUGAGUUGGAAAAAGCAUUUCAGCACUUAAAAACUUUGUUAGUAGUGAAGUCUGCCUUUAGUCAUGGUUCAGUAGUGAUGUCUGCUUAAAAGUGGAGAAAAAACAAACUUCUCUUAUGAGUUCAGGCCGAAAAAUCAGAAAGAACAUAGUUUGUAGUUUUUUUCAUGUUGUGUAAUUAUUGAACACUGAUGUUUAAGUUUGUUAAUUAAACUAAAAAAAAGAGUUUCCCGCUUUCAACUUUUUAUCUUUAGUACUGAAACAUGUCUGUUGCCAUGGUUCAGCAGUGAUGCCUGUCUGUUGCCAUGGUUACUGAGCUCAGAGAGGGAAGUGAAACACUGAAGACCAGUUUCAUCCAAUCUGAGGAAGACUACCUGAACCAGCAGCCUCCUCUGCUGCAACCAACAGGGUGGAGUUUAUUUCCUCUUUGUAUGAACUUUCUUCAUAUUGUCUCACUGUCUCCUCCUCCAGUGGGUCGAGUCGUCCCCACCCUGACGGUGCUGCCCCCCUCCAGCGAGGAGCUGCAGCAGGGGAAGGCCACGCUCAUGUGCCUGGCCAACAAGGGCUUCCCCUCAGACUGGAGUCUGGCCUGGAAGGUGGACGGCAGCAGCAGCAGCAGCUGGGAGGAGAGCAGGAGCCCCGGGGUGCUGGGGAAGGACGGCCACUACAGCUGGAGCAGCACCCUGAGGCUCCCUGCAGACCAGUGGAGGAAGGUGGGCUCUGUGACCUGUGAGGCCACCCAGGGCUCCCAGACUCCGCUCUCAGAGACGCUGAGGAGAGACCAGUGUCCCCAGUCCUGACCUGACUCACUGGGACUCUGCUACUGGUUUAACUCUGAUACUGCUCUCACUCUGCACUCUGCAACUGUCUCUCUCUUUUAUUUGACAUGUUUCAAUAACAAUAUUUACUAGCUUGUUGCAAUGUUUCAAUAUUAUUUCUGUGUUUCCAGAUAAUAAAGACGUUUUCAUCAAA